AUACUUACCUGGCAGGGGAGAUACCAUGAUCACGAAGGUGGUUUUCCCAGGGCGAGGCUUAUCCAUUGCACUCUGGGAUGUGCUGACCCCUGCGAUUUCCCCAAAUGUGGGAAACUCGACUGCAUAAUUUG
rnacentral:snRNA from 1 species